rnacentral:tRNA from 1 species
CGGCGGACGGCCCGGCCUCCAGGACGAGCGGUUCGAGGCCGCGCUCGAUGAGGCGGGCGGCGGCGGCCAGGCCGAUCGGGCCGGCUCCGACGACCA